ensembl:lncRNA
GUUCAGCUUGCUUAGUGGCAGGAAAUAGUUAAAUGGCAGUAGUGUCUGAGGAACAGGAUGCUUUCUGCUGUCAUGUGUCACAGUGUCAUCAACUCUCUCUGAACUUACCCAGCAGGUUGCUGUCAGCACAAACACACCCAAACUAACACACACAUGCACAAAUGCGCACGCACAGAGGCCCAGCCGGGAUUACUGUCAGAAUGUUAAAGAUGGGGUGGAGGAGUGUAAUCUGAUACAGGACAGCUGGUCACCUCAUCAUCCUCCGGUCCAAGCUACGGAGCUUUGGAGACAGGGCUUUCUCUAGGGCUGCUCCAAGGCUUUGGAACUCACUUCCACAAUCAAACCGUACCCCUAGCCCCUGCCCUUUCCUUUUGUCCAGUAUCAUGCUUGGGUCCUUUUCUUUAAGUUUGUCUGUGUAUUGCCCAUACCCUCUCCUCGGAUGUUGUUUGUUUUGUACCAGAUGUAAUGCAUGUUCCACCCAUCUUCAUCCGCUUCAUCCGGGGCCGGGUCGCGGGGGCAGCAGUCUAAGCAGAGAUGCCCAGACUUCCCUCUCCCCAGACACUUCCUCCAGCUCUUCCGGGGGGACACAGAGGCGUUCCCAGGCCAGCCGGGAGACAUAGUCCCUCCAGCGUGUCCUAGGUCUUCCCCGGGGUCUCCUCCCGGUGGGACGGCGUUCCGGAGGCAUCCGAAACAGAUGCCCAAGCCACUUCAGCUGACCCCUCUCCAUGUGGAGGAGCAGCGGCUCUACUCUGAGCUCAUCCCGGGUGACCGAGCUUCUCACCCUAUCUCUAAGGGAUCACCCAGCCACCCUGCGGAGAAAGCUCAUUUCGGCCGCCUGUAUCCGGGAUCUUGUCCUUUCGGUCAUGACCCAAAGCUGAUGACCAUAG